CUAAGAUGAAAAACUUUAACGCCGUUAACCUUCGCUUGAAUGGUAACACAUUCUGUCAACUGUUUGCGAACGGCAAGGCCAUCAUAAACGGCGGACCAACAAUGUCUGGGAAAUCAACGUUUACGUUGCAACUCUUGAAAAACGUUUCACAAAGUUUCACUCCCGUCCCUACUCGUAUUGUUUACGCGUACGAAAAGGUGAUACAACGCUGCUAAUUUUGGAUGAUUUAAUGGAGGAAAUAGCAUCUGCUACUAAGGCAUCCGCGUUAUUUACCCGUGAUGUUCACCACAAAAACGUUUCUGUUGUUUUCAUCUCACAAAACCUUUUCAAGCAAGGAAAGAACAUGCGUGAUAUUUCUCUCAACUCACAAUAUAUGGUCGUAUUUAAAUCUGUUCGCGACACACAGCAAAUAAAAACGCUAGCGCAUCAGCUGG